ensembl:lncRNA
UGACAGCCCUGUCUUAGGUUCCAGCAAGGGGAAGAAGAUAAGCAGGCUUCCAACAUGACAGAGGGCAAACACUGCAGGAUGAGAGAGAUUAGAACCUUGUCCCUGCUUGGGGCAGAAAGAGAAGCCACCCCCUUGCUCCUGAAGCUUCCCUAACCAAUAGCUAUGAAGCUCUGGGGAUGGAAAGAGAAAAUGGUAUGAGCAGUUGUUCAGAAAUGAAAAAGGGAAACCAUGUUAAGAAGGUCCAGCUGAGAACCUGAGUAUCAACCAGUGCCACUAAAAAAGGCAAACAGCCUUAGUAAUUGGAGACUCUACUGAGGGGCACUGAGGCACCCAUCUGGUGCCCAGAUAAUCUGUCUAGAGAAGUCUGACGCCUGCUGGGGGCCCACAUUCAGGAUAUCAGGAAGAGGAUACCAGGUAUGAUAAAGCCAGAGGACUACAACUCACUCAGGGUUUUUCAAGCUGGGUCACACAAGGCUGUGACUAGUAAAUUUAAAAAUAUCAGGAAAUACUUUACAUCCCUUGGGAGUAUGCUGAAGGGAUCAAGAUGGAUGGGAUGUAGUGUUCUCCUCAAUCCUCCUGGUUGGAGACUGGGAUCUGGGCAGAAGGAGGAAAACCAGCCAGUUGAAUGAAUGGCUGCAUGGAUGGUGUCACACCCAGGGCUUUGACUUCUAUGAUGUAAGACAUACCUUGAUAAACUGGCAAUACUGACUUGGGAUGGGACACAAUUGACCACAAAGGGCAAGGAUAUGCUAGGCAGCAAGCUGUUAGGACCCAUCACCAGUGCUUUAAACUAGAUUUGGUGGGGGAAGGGGAUGUACUGCUGAGUAAUAGAGAACUGCCAAGGAAUACUGUCAUUUUAGGAAUCAGCAGGGUAAAACAUCAGAGGUUUUUGGUAGGGCUCCUCUAAAAAGGUAAUAUGGCCAGUAACCCAGCUAAGUGCCUCUACACAGAUGCAUACAGCAUGAGAAAUAUGUAGGAGGAGUUGGGAACUAUGGUGUAAUUGAAAAACUGUAAUCUUAAUGCUACCACAGAAACAUGGUGGGAUGAUUCACGUAACUGGAAUACCAUGUUUGAUGGCUGUCAACAUUUUAGAAGGGACAGGCUAAAGUACGAGAGUGUCGCGUCCUGCCCUUAAAGGGGAGGAAAGAGGUGUCCAGAUUUGCAGAUACCCCUGGUUGGAUUAAGAUAAAAUGAUACACAGAGGUCCACACACGAUCAUUACUUUUAGUGAGAGUCUAAAUACUACAAUCAUCCCCAGAAUGUUGGCACUAUAAUACUUAGAAUCUACCUUAAACUGUGUGGCUCAACUAUACAACUUUAAGGGACAAAAAUAAGUCUUGCAACUACUUAACAACUUUAUGACUUAACAACUGUAUAAGACAUACAGCUUUUAAGAAGACAAAAUAGGUUUUGCAAUUACUUUACAGGAGACAAAGAGCAAAAAGAGAAAACUGAGGAAUACAGAGAAACAAUGAGUCAGAAAAAUGAACUGGAAGAUUAUCAGCAGUCUAUUUCAAAGGCCUGUUUUGAGGAGUUCCAGUGUCAGCCCAUAUAGUUGGAGAAGGGGUGGGGAGUUAAGUGUGCUCAGCUGGAGCUCAUAGUCUCAAAUGGCUAAACAGCAAUAACCAACAAGAAAAAGACAAAGGAGACUACCUCAGGUUCCCUCUCAGACAAUCUUGCAGUACACUGUGCUAAGGUCAUAGACAAGUUUAGAAUAGACGAGUUUGCAAUAAAAGGUUUGUC